rnacentral:rRNA from 1 species
AUUGAACGCUGGCGGCAUGCCUUACACAUGCAAGUCGAACGGCAGCACGGGGCAACCUGGUGGCGAGUGGCGAACGGGUGAGUAAUGCAUCGGAACGUACCUUUCAGUGGGGGAUAACGUAGCGAAAGUUACGCUAAUACCGCAUAUUCUGUGAGCAGGAAAGCAGGGGGUCGCAAGACCUUGCGCUGAUUGAGCGGCCGAUGUCAGAUUAGCUAGUUGGUGAGGUAAAGGCUCACAAAGGCGACGAUCUGUAGCGGGUCUGAGAGGAUGAUCCGCCACACUGGAACUGAGACACGGUCCAGACUCCUACGGGAGUCAGCAGUGGGGAAUUUUGGACAAUGGGGGCAACCCUGAUCCAGCCAUGCCGCGUGAGUGAAGAAGGCCUUCGGGUUGUAAAGCUCUUUCGGCCGGGAAGAAAUCGCACGGGCUAAUACCCUGUGUGGAUGACGGUACCGGAAUAAGAAGCACCGGCUAACUACGUGCCAGCCGCCGCAGUAACAC